rnacentral:rRNA from 1 species
UACGUAGGGCGCAAGCGUUAUCCGGAAUUAUUGGGCGUAAAGAGCUCGUAGGCGGUUUGUCGCGUCUGCCGUGAAAAAUCCGGGGGCUCAACCCCGGACUUGCAGUGGGUACGGGCAGACUAGAGUGUGGUAGGGGAGACUGGAAUUCCUGGUGUAGCGGUGAAUGCGCAGAUAUCAGGAGGAACACCGAUGGCGAAGGCAGUUCUCUGGGCCGUAACUGACGCUGAGGAGCGAAAGCGUGGGGAGCGAACAGG